rnacentral:rRNA from 1 species
ACGCUCGACACCUACGGGAGGCAGCAGUGAGGAAUAUUGGUCAAUGGACGCAAGUCUGAACCAGCCAUGCCGCGUGCAGGAUGACGGCUCUAUGAGUUGUAAACUGCUUUUGUACGAGGGUAAACGCAGAUACGUGUAUCUGUCUGAAAGUAUCGUACGAAUAAGGAUCGGCUAACUCCGUGCCAGCAGCCGUGGUAAUCUGAGCGGCUGGCAAGGC